AGUGAACGCUGGCGGUAGGCCUAACACAUGCAAGUCGAACGGCAGCACAGGAGAGCUUGCUCUCUGGGUGGCGAGUGGCGGACGGGUGAGGAAUACAUCGGAAUCUACUUUUUCGUGGGGGAUAACGUAGGGAAACUUACGCUAAUACCGCAUACGACCUACGGGUGAAAGCAGGGGAUCUUCGGACCUUGCGCGAUUGGAUGAGCCGAUGUCCGAUUAGCUAGUUGGCGGGGUAAAGGCCCACCAAGGCGAUGAUCGGUAGCUGGUCUGAGAGGACGACCAGCCACACUGGAACUGAGACACGGUCCAGACUCCUACGGGAGGCAGCAGUGGGGAAUAUUGGACAAUGGGCGCAAGCCUGAUCCAGCCAUGCCGCGUGGGUGAAGAAGGCCUUCGGGUUGUAAAGCCCUUUUGUCCGGAAAGAAAUCCUGUCGGUUAAUACCCGGCGGGGAUGACGGUACCGGAAGAAUAAGCACCGGCUAACUUCGUGCCAGCAGCCGCGGUAA
rnacentral:rRNA from 1 species